ACAUGUUUUUAUUCUCAUGUCAGGUCGGCCAAAAGAAAGGCCGACGGCCCCUCCCGACGGACGACGGCACGGAACACACCAAACAGACUCGAGUCUCCGACCUUGCCAGACUGUCCGAAGGCCGAUUAUCCGGAUGGUGUGUCAGGGCCUUUAGA